rnacentral:misc_RNA from 1 species
UGUGGGAGCGGGCUUGCUCGCGAACGCGGUGUGUCAGUCUCCUGGUGCAUGACUGAUCCACCGCGUUCGCGAGCAAGCCCGCUCCCACA